rnacentral:misc_RNA from 1 species
CAAUGAGUGUUUUAUGGCACUCUUUAAAAAUCCAUAUCCACCUUGUGUGCAAUGUUUGUUGGGAGAGAGGCAACUCUUUCCCUUCACAAAUAUCAACCUAUAUCUUUAACAACAUUCGUCUGAUAACAUAUGUAUGAGGAUGUCGUAAACAGAGCCUAGUUGGCUCUUACAAAUUAAAUA